UACAGAGGUGGCAAGCGUUGUUCGGAAUUACUGGGCGUAAAGGGCUCGUAGGUGGCCAACUAAGUCGGACGUGAAAUCCCUCAGCUUAACUGGGGAACUGCGUCCGAUACUGGAUGGCUUGAGUUUGGGAGAGGGAUGCGGAAUUCCAGGUGUAGCGGUGAAAUGCGUAGAUAUCUGGAGGAACACCGGUGGCGAAGGCGGCAUCCUGGACCGGUAUUGACGCUGAGGCGCGAAAGCUAGGGGAGCAAACGGG
rnacentral:rRNA from 1 species